GUCCUACAAAUAUGGGUAGUGCUCUCAGUUCAGUUGAGAAGUAAUGUUACUCAAAUAAAAUUGUAAUAUUGGCAGUAGUUCAGGGAGGUUUAACUCUCUCUCUCUCUUACAAUGAGGAGGUUACAAGCAGUUUUGGGUUUGAUUUCUCCCACGUCCCUUCCCCACGUUUAUUGUAACUUCCUACCCUUCCUUUUAAUAGGGAUCUCAAACCUACAUUUUUGCCCAUUCUCCUUCAUCGCUAUCGCUCUGUAUCAAUCCAUUGCGCUUUGAAAAGUAAAAGUGAAGCAUCGAUUUCAUGGCAACACCGAUUCCAAGCAUUUGUGUGUGUGUAAUUUCCGGUUAAACUCAAGAACCAACCAAGGGUUUGUUGUUUGAUCAGGAUUGAGAUGGCGAGUUCAGUAGAGGCUGCCGGAGAACCUGUUCCGACGUCGACGGUGCUAAUGUCGGCGUCGAAGCACAUCGCCGUUAGAUGCAGAGUCAAAUUCAGUCAUGCUAGGAGUCUCCUUACAGCGAUACAGCCUCCUAAGCUCUGCUGGAAAGGUUUUUGAUGCUAUCAAUUUGCAAUCCGCAAGGCGUUGUGAUAUGAUGUGGGGUUGAGAUAUAUACGCAUCUUAAUCGAUCAAUGCUCAUUUGUUCUGUUUUCAAAGAAAGAAGAAAAAGGUCGAAGAGAAAGAAGAGUCGGAUGAUACACUUAUAUUUGAAGAAGUAUCUGUGGUGUCAAAGAAUCAGACUCUUAAAGAUGCACUCAAUGAUGAAGAACUCAAACAGGGUAGAAGAAUGGAUCUUGUGUACAGUGAAACUGCUGGAGUAGAAGGUCAACUAUGGAUGUUAUUGCCCAUACUUUUUGUCUGGAUGGAUUUUGAAGCAUAUGUGGGUGUGCUAUUGCUACAAAUUGCAGUUGUUGGUGUUAGUCUGAAUAGCAGGUAAGACACUACAAAUUUAUAACAUAUUGUAGAGGUAGAAUGGCCCACUUUCAUGUGGGCCGUUUUGGGGGAUGUUUAAUCUCAAAUGUGGUCAAAUGGAUUUACAAAAUAUUAGGUAAAAGCUAAACGGGUCAAUGGGAUUGAAAGUCACCAAAUGUCUAGAAUAAUUGUAGUUUUUUUUGAAUACUCUAGGUAAUAAAGUUAUAUAAAAGUUACAUAUGUUGUGGAAAAGAGUGGAACUAAAUUUGAUGUAACUUGCCCAAAUUAGAGAGAAAAACGUUUUCAAGGUAGUCAUAUAAAGGGUCUGCUUUACUCUUAGAAAUCUCUAAUUUUUUUUUUCUACUUGGUUUUUAGGAAGGGUUUUUUUUUUGGGGAGGGGGUUUUUUGGAUUUUUUUUAAAUCUUAAGUCAAAUGUUUGGGUUCAUCAAAUCUGUUUAAAAAUGGCAAGAUCCAACGGGAUUUAUAUGUUACAAGAUUGAUUACUGAAUGGGAAUAAUGUAUUUGAUCUGCACGACACUUACAAGCUUAAUGAAGAGAAUUUGCAAGUGGGAGCUGGCUUUGAAAGACUGUGGAGAAAGCUUUCAUUGCAAAACAAUUGCUCACAUGGUGGAGUAAUAAGAAAAGCAGGUAUGGGCGAUCAACUAAUAAUUAGAAAGUCAAAGGGUGUGAGUUGAAAGAUAAUAAAGGGUUCCUAAGUUAAGCUCGAGAUAUGUUAAUAUGGGAAGGUCAAUAUGUGAUAAGUCUGUAUGAGAUAUAUGUUUUGGUUACGAAUAUGUGGUUUAGGCCCCUUCAAACACACACAAUUUACUAAACUUUUUGUAUAUUGACCUUCAAAAUGAUUUGCACGAGAGAGAUGAUAAAAAUCAACCUGAUAGUGCUACUAUUUAUAGCCUACAGAGUCGAGGCAGAGGAGGAUUACGGUAAUAUGUAUUCUCUUGUAUAUAUCCAUCUUAUUUGAUUGAUAGCUACCCACACAUGGUUGUGAUGGGAGUUGGACUGGCAUUUGGAUUCCUCAUGGUAAUAUUAUAGUUAUCUUUUAUAUUUUCUAUAUUUCAGUUUAUUCUUUGUGCUUACAAAUACUAAAUGAUCUCAGUUUUUACAAGUUUUGACAUCGCCAAAUUAUUACAAUUUUACACCAGAUAUUAGAAAUUAAACUUUUUAUGAUGCGUAAAAGAUAAAUGAUGACUUACUUUAAAAGCUUCAAGUUAACCUUACACCGACACUUCCCUUUGUUAGUUUGUUAUGUUCAGUUAUGUCAAAAGCUAGAAAACUAACCAUCCUAGAGGUGGCCUUGUAUAUACCAUUUACUUAUAGACAUGUCUGUUAAUUCUAUGGGUCAUGUUUCAUCUCUAGCACCAAAUGGGUUAAACAGGUUGAAAGUCACAUGUCAAAUGUUUAAUUCGUUUUAUAAAAAAUAAAUUAUUGUUGAGUAAUAAUCUUUAGCAUACAUGUCAUAAACUGUAUAUCUUUCUGUUUUAAUUCCCCAAAACCUGUUUUGGGCAAUUGUGCUAAUGCAGUUUAACCCAUAUAGAAAAUUACCCGGCGGGUUAUAAGCCCUGAAUUUAUGUUAAUGAUGUUUGAUUGAUUUUGUAGGCGAAAAGGGUUCGAAGUAGGUUGAAACUUUGAUAUGUUAAACAUUAAAGAGUCCAAUGAGAAUGGGGAUAAGAGACAAUUCUAGGAGCCGCCAGCAUCAAGAACAACAAUACGACCAUCGCAAGCUGACAAAGUUUCCUAAAUUCACAGUCAGUUGGGAGUUUUUCAAAAGAAGAGAGAAAUUGACACUUCCUUAAAUUCACAUACUCAGUUGGGAGUUUAUCAAAAGAAGAGAGACAUAGACAUGAGAAGUAUGUAAUUCAUGUUGAUACACAUUGUUGAAUGGAGCCCUUUCUAUGCCAAUUUUCAACAUUUGAUUUUCUUU